AUGCAGACACUCCAUUUCUCCAGCAAGAUACUGGGCAUACCUUCCCUUGGCCUUGCUCUUGUGCUGCUGUUCUGCUUGGCCACUCCAACCAGUUGCUGCACCCAGCAGGAGAAGGGCGCCCUUCUCCAGUUCCUCGCCGAGCUCUCACAAGACAGUGGCCUCUCUGCGACAUGGUGGAAUGGCACAGAUUGCUGCAAUUGGGAAGGGAUCACCUGCAGGCAAGAUAGGACGGUCACCCAUGUCUUGCUGCCUUCAAAGGGCCUCGAGGGGCGCAUCUCACAAUCUCUUGGAAACCUUACUGGGCUGCAGCACCUUGAUCUCUCUGACAACUCGCUGUCAGGUGGUCUGCCGCUGGGAUUGGUGUCGUCCAGCAGCAUUACUACACUUGAUGUUAGCUUUAACCAGCUCAAUGGGACACUCCAAGAGCUGCUGUCAUCUUCAACCCCUGGCGGGCCUCUGCAGGUACUAAACAUCUCAAGCAACUUAUUUGCAGGACAGUUUCCAUCCACCACAUGGAAAGCAAUGGAGAAUCUGAUCGCACUCAAUGCCAGCAAUAACAGCUUUACUGGGCAGAUACCAACUCGAUUAUGUAGCACCUUGCCAUCCCUCAAGGUGCUUGAUCUGUGUUUCAACAAAUUCAGUGGCAGCGUACCCCCAGGACUUGGUGAUUGCUCCAAGCUAAGAGAGCUCAGGGCUGGGUAUAACAACCUCAGUGGAAGACUCCCAGAUGAACUAUUCAAUGCAACCUCGUUGGAAUACCUGUCUUUCGCAAACAAUGGUUUAUAUGGAGUUCUUGAUAAUAAGCGCAUAGUCAACCUCAGAAAUCUCGUAACCCUUGAUCUUGGAGGGAACCAAUUCAGUGGAAAGAUUCCAGAUUAUAUAGGUCAACUCAAGAGACUGGAGGAGUUCCAUUUGAACAACAACAACAUGUCAGGGGAGCUGCCGUAUGCUCUGAGCAACUGCACAAAUCUCAUAACAAUUGACCUCAAGAGCAACAAACUCGGUGGAGAACUUAGCAAUGUCAAUUUCUCCAACCUGCCCAAUCUGAGAACUUUAGAUCUUUGGUCCAACAACUUCACCGGUACAGUUCCAGAAAGUAUGUACUCAUGCAGUAACCUGACUGCGCUGCGGCUAGCUAACAACAAAUUAUAUGGGCAGCUCUCAUCGAGAAUAGGCAAUCUGAAGCACCUGUCCUUCUUGUCACUUGGUAAAAACAAUUUCACAAACAUCGCAAAUGCGCUUCAGAUCCUUAAGAGCAGCAAGAACCUUACCACCCUGCUUAUUUCGUUCAAUUUCAAGGGAGAGCUCAUGCCAGAGGAUGACAGAAUUGGUGGUUUUGAUAAUCUUCAGGUCUUGGACAUGGAUGGUUGCCAAUUAUCUGGAAAAAUACCUGUAUGGAUAUCAAGAUUGACACAACUGAAGAUGUUAAUUUUAAGAAGCAAUCAACUCACUGGACCAAUACCGGACUGGAUCAACUCCUUAAGCCGUCUCUUCUAUAUAGAUGUGUCAAACAACACUCUUACAGGAGAAAUCCCCUUAACAUUCACGGAGAUGCCAAUGCUAAAAUCAACUGACAACACAACUCAUUUGGACCCAAGGGUCUUUGAGCUGCCUGUUUAUACUGGCCCAUCACUUCAAUACCGUGUGGUUACAUCUUUCCCAACAAUGUUGAAUCUAAGCAACAACAAAUUCACAGGUGUGAUCCCCCCACAGAUUGGUCAGUUGAACUUGCUUGCUGUACUUGAUUUCAGCUUCAACAAGUUAUCUGGACAGAUCCCCCAAUCGAUUUGCAACCUCACGAACUUGCAGGUGCUAGAGUUGUCCAGCAACAAUCUCACAGGUGCUAUCCCAGCUGCAUUGAACACCCUGAACUUCCUUUCAGAAUUCAACAUUUCAAACAAUGACCUAGAAGGACCUAUUCCAUCUGGAGGCCAGUUUAAUACAUUUCAGAAUUCUAGUUUCAAUGGGAAUCCAAAGCUGUGUGGCUCUAUGCUCACUCACAAAUGCAGUAAAGAUUCAAUAUCUCAAUCCUCCAGAAAAAAACGAGACAAGAAAGCUGUUUUUUCGAUUGCAUUUGGCGUGUUCUUCGGAGGCAUUGCUAUUCUUUUGUUGCUGGCGCGUCUCCUUGUCUCAAUUAGGCAGAAGGGUUUUACAGGAAAAAAUAGAAGGGAAAGUAAUGGAGAUGUUGAAGAACCUUCAUUCUACUCCAGUUCAGAGCAAACAUUAGUUGUGGUGCGGAUAGCACAAGGCAAGGGAGUAGAAAACAAGCUCAAAUUCGCUGACAUUUUGAAAGCUACGAACAACUUUGAUAAGGCAAACAUCAUUGGAUGUGGAGGUCAUGGAUUAGUCUACAAGGCAGAGCUAUCUGAUGGCUCCAAGCUGGCAAUCAAAAAGCUCAAUGGUGAAAUGUGUCUAAUGGAAAGGGAGUUCAGUGCAGAGGUUGAUGCACUCUCCCGGGCACAACAUGAAAAUCUUGUACCACUGUGGGGUUACUGCAUCCAGGGAAACUCGAGGUUUCUCGUAUAUUCCUACUUGGAGAAUGGAAGCCUGGAUGAUUGGCUCCAUAACAGGGAUGAUGGUGCUAGCUUAUUGCUUGACUGGCCUACUCGGCUCAAGAUCGCACAAGGAGCAAGCCUGGGCCUUUCUUAUAUCCAUGAUGCCUGCAACCCUCAAAUUGUCCAUCGUGACAUCAAAUCUGGUAAUAUCCUACUGGACAAAGAAUUUAAAGCUUAUGUUGCAGACUUUGGGCUAGCCAGAUUGAUCCUUCCCAACAACACCCAUGUCACAACGGAGCUGGUAGGUACUAUGGGUUACAUCCCACCCGAGUAUGGGCAAGCAUGGGUUGCUACGCUGAGAGGUGAUAUAUACAGUUUCGGAGUAGUGCUGCUUGAGCUGCUCACAGGAAGGCGACCUGUUUCGGUAUUUUGUACACCAAAAGAACUUGUCCCAUGGGUUCUACAGAUGAGGUCUGAGGGAAAGCAGAUUGAGGUCCUGGAUCCAACACUUCGAGGAACAGGGUAUGAAGAGCAAAUGCUGAAGGUGCUUGAAGCCGCUUGCAAGUGUGUUGACCAUAAUCAAUUCAGGCGGCCAACUAUCAUGGAAGUAGUCUCCUGCCUGUCCAGUAUAAACGCUGAUCCAGAGAUGCAAAGAUCAGCCAACAUAUAG
rnacentral:rRNA from 1 species